UUGGGGAAUAGCUCAACGGUAGAGCUGCCCGCUGUUAACGGGAAGGUUCUAGGUUCGAAUCCUAGUUCCCCAGU
rnacentral:tRNA from 15 species